AUUGAACGCUGGCGGCAUGCUUUACACAUGCAAGUCGAGCGGCAGCGCGGGGGGCAACCCUGGCGGCGAGCGGCGAACGGGUGAGUAAUGCAUCGGAACGUAUCCUGUAGUGGGGAAUAACUCACCGAAAGGUGAGCUAAUACCGCAUAAGCUCUGAGGAGGAAAGCGGGGGGACCGAAAGGCCUCGCGCUGCAGGAGCGGCCGAUGUCCGAUUAGCUAGUUGGUGAGGUAAAGGCUCACCAAGGCGACGAUCGGUAGCUGGUCUGAGAGGAUGAUCAGCCACACUGGGACUGAGACACGGCCCAGACUCCUACGGGAGGCAGCAGUGGGGAAUUUUGGACAAUGGGGGAAACCCUGAUCCAGCCAUGCCGCGUGAGUGAAGAAGGCCUUCGGGUUGUAAAGG
rnacentral:rRNA from 1 species